rnacentral:rRNA from 1 species
ACACGUCGAUAAUCUGCUCUUAGGUCAGGGAUAAUCUUGGGAAACUGAGAAUAAAACCUGAUAGGGAAUGAAGUCUGGAAUGAAUUAUUCUUGAAAAGCAAUGCCUAAGAAUGAGUCGGCGGCGGAUUAGGCUGUUGGCGGUGUAAUGGACCACCAAACCUUUGAUCCGUACGGGCCUUGAAAGAGGUAGCCCGGAGAGGGACACUAAGACACUGGUCCCAGCCCUACGGGGUGCAGCAGGCGCGAAACCUCUACAAUGCACGAAAGUGUGAUAGGGGGAUCCUAAGUGCUCAUGCAAAACAUGGGCUUUUGCCAAGUGUAAAUAGCUUGGAGAAUAAGUGGUGGGCAAGACUGGUGCCAGCCGCCGCGGUAACACCAGCGCCACAAGUGGGAAUCGCGUAUUUGGCCUAAAGCGUUCGUAGCCGGUUUUGUAAAUUCCCUGUGAAAUCGAUAGGCUCAACCUAUCGGCGUGCAAGGAACACUGCAUAACUCGGAAUCGGGAGGGGUCGGGAGUAUUCGGUGGGGAGCGGUAAAAUGCGAUAAUCCUCCGAAGACUACCUGUGGCGAAGGCGCCCGACCAGAACGAAUUCGACGGUGAGGGACGAAAGCUGGGGGAGCGAUCUGGAUUAGAUACCCAAGUAGUCCCAGCUGUAAACACUGCGAGCAAGGUGUUGCACAAUUUU